UACAGAGGGGGCACGCGUUGUUCGGACUUACUGGGCGUAACGGGCGCGUAGGCGGCCUGUUAAGUCGAACGUGAAAUCCCCGGGCUCAACCCGGGAACUGCGUCCGAUACUGGCAGGCUUGAAUCCGGGAGAGGGAUGCGGAAUUCCAGGUGUAGCGGUGAAAUGCUUAGAUAUCUGGAGGAACACCGGUGGCGAAGGCGGCAUCCUGGACCGGUAUUGACGCUGAGGCGCGAAAGCGUGGGGAGCAAACAGG
rnacentral:rRNA from 1 species